GCUCGGCUCGGCCCGACAUGGGCACCGGCAAGGGGCCGGAGGCGGGCCGAGGGUGCUGUGACCCCCGGCGCGGCCCUGCCCACCCGGCCGCCACCGGCAGCGGGCAGGGCGGCCGGACUUGGCGAAGUUGGCGGCGGCCGCGCUGAGCCCGGCUCCCCUUCGCUACCCCGCCUCGGAGAGAGGCUGCUGUUUUUUUUUUUUUUUUUUUCUGAUUUUUUUUAUUAUUAUUUUUCGCUUCCGUCUCUCGCUCUUGCUUCAGCCAAGGUGAAUGGCCCGCGGUGGGCGCGGCUGUGGCGGGCGGCUGUGCAGCGGGAAGAUGCUGGCCGUGGGGGUGCUGGCCGGGCUGUCGGUGCUCAGCCUGCUCACCUACGGCUACCUGGCCUGGGACAGCCUCGGACUCGGCCCCGGAGGGACGGAGGCAGCGGGGAGCCGGCCGGGAGAGGAGCCGGGGGCCGGAGCCCCCAGCUCGCAGCCCCACAUCGUCUUCAUCCUGGCUGACGAUCAGGGAUUCAGAGACGUAGGGUACCACGGAUCCGAGAUCAGGACGCCCACUCUGGACAAGCUAGCUGCCGAAGGGGUUAAGCUGGAGAACUAUUAUGUUCAGCCUAUGUGCACACCGUCCAGAAGCCAAUUUAUCACUGGAAAGUACCAAAUACACACCGGCCUUCAGCACUCCAUCAUCCGGCCAACGCAGCCCAACUGCUUGCCUCUGGAUAACGUCACGCUACCUCAGAAGCUGAAGGAGGUUGGUUAUUCAACGCACAUGGUUGGCAAGUGGCACCUGGGGUUUUAUCGCAGAGAAUGCAUGCCCACACAGAGAGGAUUUGACACGUUCUUUGGCUCGCUCUUAGGCAGUGGUGACUAUUACACUCACUUCAAAUGUGACAGCCCUGGGAUAUGUGGCUAUGACCUGUACGAGAAUGAUAAUGCAGCUUGGGAUCAUGACAAUGGCAUCUACUCAACGCAGAUGUACACACAAAAAGUACAACAAAUCUUGGCGUCUCAUAAUCCCAGGAAACCUAUAUUCUUAUAUAUUGCUUACCAAGCUGUUCAUUCGCCUCUUCAGGCACCAGGCAAGUAUUUUGAGCAUUAUCGAUCAAUAAAUAACAUAAACAGGAGAAGAUAUGCUGCAAUGCUAGCUUGUUUGGAUGAAGCCAUAAACAAUGUAACCCUUGCUUUAAAGAAGUAUGGUUACUAUGACAAUAGCAUUAUCAUAUAUUCCUCAGAUAAUGGUGGGCAGCCAAUGGCGGGAGGAAGUAACUGGCCUCUGCGAGGGAGCAAAGGGACCUACUGGGAAGGAGGCAUCCGUGCUGUUGGCUUUGUCCAUAGCCCCCUUCUGAAAAACAAAGGGUCCGUGUGUAAGGAGCUGGUGCACAUCACAGACUGGUUCCCCACUUUGAUCACGCUGGCAGAAGGACAGAUCGAUGAAGACAUCCAGCUGGAUGGCUAUGAUAUAUGGGAAACCAUUAGUGAAGGCAGACGUUCUCCACGGGUAGACAUCUUACACAACAUCGACCCAAUUUACACCAAAGCCAAAAACGGGUCCUGGGCAGCUGGCUAUGGGAUCUGGAACACCGCGAUUCAGUCCGCCAUCCGAGUGAAUCACUGGAAACUACUGACAGGAAAUCCUGGAUAUAGCGACUGGGUACCUCCACAGGCCUUCAGUAAUGUGGGCCCCAACCGCUGGCAUAACGAACGCGUCUCUUGGUCAGCUGGCAAAACUGUGUGGCUUUUCAACAUAACUGCUGAUCCAUAUGAACGGGUGGACCUCUCUGCACGAUAUCCAGAUGUAGUGAAGCAGUUGUUGCGGAGGCUUUCACAGUUUAAUAAGACUGCAGUUCCCGUUCGAUACCCACCUAAGGACCCUCGGAGUAACCCAAAGCUGAAUGGAGGAGUCUGGGGUCCAUGGUUUAAGGAGGACGAAAAGAAAAAGAAGUCAGAUAAAAGUAAAAGUGCGAACAAGCAGAAGAAGAAUAAGAACAAGAAAAAAGCAAAUCGGAAAAAAGGGCAAUCAUUACAUUGCCGUUCACGUCUUGCUGGUGGAUAGACUCAAGCACAUGGUCUUUUGCCAAGUCUAAGUCAGUUUGGCCCAACUUUCUUGAACUUCUCACAGAGUAUCCAGAAAUGCCAGCUCUGCACUAUGGAUGGAAGCUGUCAUCUUUUCAUUUGUUCUCAAAUUUCACCAGCACAAGAUACCUUGACACUGUGCCUUGAGUAUGUAUGAACAUCCACACGACAAACUUUCUCCUCUACAGGAAGAGUGGUGCUCACCCAUCACAGCUACAUUCCAGAUAACAACACAGAUAACUUCAGAAAUCCCAUUUUUGAUGGACAAAUGGUGGUUCCUUGCAUAAAUUAGUCGGAACUUUUGGAGACUAGGGAGAGGUUAAAAUGGCAGAUGAUUUCAAACCGACCGAUGAUUCAUAGGGAGAAAGGAAAAACAAAACUUGAGAACCUCUGUAGGUCAGAGAGUGUUAGUCACCAACCUAUGACAUUUUUUGGUACAGCACAGCAAAAACAUGAAGCCAUCCGAAUAACUUUGGGGGGGGGGGGGGUUGGGGAGAGGAGCCUGAUGGGAGGAAAGCUGCUUUAAAUUAGACUGUGUCUGUCAUAGAUAAACCAGAAAUACUUUUUAAAUUCCCGAAAUGUGCUAAGCUCACCCCAUUUGUAGUAAAACCAGAAGGCUGUUAUUCAGCACACAUGAGCAGCUAGCACAUGCUGUGUAUAAUUUAUUAUAGGCAUAGGCAAAAGCACCAAAAAAAUCACCAAAGUGAAUGUAAUAUUUAAACACUUUAAGAUAGCUAUACUACAGUACAUAAAAGACGUAAUUUAUUUUACAGCACAAUACUUUUUUGUCUUCCAUUGCAACUUUAAUUAGUGGGUGAUGCAAGGUAGCCCUCUGGGUGCUAGGGUUGUUUGUUUGUUUGUUUCCUUUGAUUUUUAAUUUUAUUUUCACUCUAUCAUUCAGAGUUUUAUUUAACAGAUCCACAUCCUCAGAGUACUGUAAAACAAGAAAAUACUGUAGACACUGCUAGGAUGAGAAAGGAGAAUGAUUCAGGUACAUCAUUUCAUUAUGUAUUUGCCUCCAAUUACUUUGAAUGUAACAAAGUGAUUAUUUGAUUAAGUAGUCACGUGAAUAUUGUUCAGUUUCUGUACAGAAGCUAGGCCAUCUUUAUGUUUUUGGGGAGAAUUCUACUUUAAACUUCUUAUUUAUAUAUCUAUUAAAAUAGUUUAUUUUUAUGGCAUUCAGAAAAGUAGUCUGUCUUUUUUUUUUUUUUUUGCAUUGAAGAUAGCAAUUCUGUUCUUGUUUAUUUUAAAUUAAUUCAAUAAGCUUUUUUAUUAUUAUUGUUGCUGCAGGGCUGAUUUUGUGACAUUUCCCUUCUGAAACAGCAUUUUUCCUUCUACUAUGUAUAUAAUUAGAGGCCUUGUUCACCUUUAGUCUUUCCCAAGGUAUCUGCGUGGAUGGUUAAUGGAUAUACCAAUUUCAUAUUCUUGAUAAUCUGUGAUAAUUGAUACAAUACAUAGGCACAUUCAAGUUUCAAGAUGAAUUACAUUAAAUAAAUUUGAUGAUUCAUUUGCUAACUAGCUAGAACAUAGUUUGGUAAAUUUAAAAUAAUCAUGCUUCCCAACUAUAUCUCAUUUGAAUCAGGAAUCACAUUUAUAUAGAUUGAUUAUGGUUGAAAAAUUAAAACAUUUCUAAAAUAAUUGCACACUAAAAUCUAAAUCAUGUCCAACACUCAAAAAAAAACCAACAGACUUUUUUGAAAAGAAACUAACUGCAGACAUUACCAAAAACUGGUAAACUGCAAAUUUGCAGCUACUAAGCAGAAUAAAGCUGUCAUUUGCAAACACUUAGAAACAAGUUAGUCAGAUUUUAGAGUUACUUUUAUAGUGAAUACACUCAGAAGGUAAUAAGAAUGGGCUUCUUGAGUAGUUACCUGUAAAUAAUCGUAAAAGGAUAAUGUGUAUCUGCAGAAGUGUUUAAUAUUGUCACUACUCUUUUUCAUACUGUGUGGUCGUAAGAAGAAUAAUUAAUUUUCUGAGAAGUCUGUCUAGCUUUACUUGAGAUCCAGAAUAUUCAAUGAGUGAGCAGGAACUCAACUGUUCUCUAAUUUGUCACUUCUUUUAAAUGUACCAUUAAUGUCUUUAAAAGAAAUGAUAAAAACAUCCUGAGAUACUAUAUUCCAAAGUGGCACGUAUAAAAUACAUGUCUUUGAGAGAAAACUUUCUUUUUUUUUUUUUUUUUUGUCUUUGAAAAAAGACUAAGACUUUAACAAGUAGUCUGGAUCAGUUAUCAGUGCACAAAUGUAUAUACCAGUUGGACAAAUGUAGAGACACUUUUUAUGAUGUACCUUUCUAGUUUGGGAAAGAAUCUACGUUUCCGUAAUAAACAUUAGCAGAGAAGUCAAGGAAGCAGGAACUGGUUUUGAAACAGUAUGCUGUCCGGUUUACAUUUUAACAUACAAGUCACUAUGUUUAUGUUUGAAAUAUGCCUGUGUUGAACACUGAGUUCAGAGUCAGAAAGAAAUAGUAACGUUUCUGACUUUCUGAGGUCAUUUGGAAAGGGAUGAAAUUAGAUGUGUAAGCUAAAUUAUAUAUAAAAAAGGACUAAGAUAUUUUGAUAUAUUUUGGCAUAAUAGAAAUAAAGGCAUUGUAAUGAAGUGUUGUGCUCACAGAAUCUAUGAUCACCUUUUUCCAUGAAAUGUUUCAUGGUUCUUUUAUUGGUCUGAAGCAACCGGAGGGCAUUAUUCUCUGACAAUGUUUUAUUCUGUAAAAAUUUCGUGUGUGUUUUUUGUUGUGUUGUUGUUGUUGUUGUUGUUUGUUUGUUUGUUUGCUUGUUUUUUUCCCCUCAGGCAAAAUGUGAGUCCUUGAAAGCAAUCAGUGCAAAGCAGAACAGUGGAUCAGUGUCACAGUCUUGCAUGACUAUAUAUUAAAUAUAUGUGCCACAAGUGUAAGUGUUUGUAGAGCACACAGUGGGAGUACAUUUUCUAAGGCUGCAGUGGCUGUCAGUUAGGUUGAUUCCCUUAAAAUCAAUUCUCUGAUCUGGUAUAGGGCAAUGGUUGGAUUUACAGUGGGAUAGAAAAUAUGUACAGUAGGGAAGCCUUCCUGAAUCUUUUGCUGAAAAGAUCCUGAUGUGAAAAUACCACAUUCCCAUUUUCCUGUCUACUUUCACUCAUUAGUUCUCUUUGCACUCCAGCAGUACAAUGGUCUUGAGUUUUUGGUGAUACUACAGAGCUCUCAAACCCAGCUUUCUGUUUGCAGAGUAGUUCAUUCACCCACAGCAGUAUUUCACAGGCUAUUUACACUUCAGGAUGUGUUACUGUCCAAUCCCUGGGAAGGCAGGACAGGUACCUCAUAAGAAGGUCUGAGUUCAAAGAAGGCCACCAGACUUACUGAAACCACAGGCCUAUACUCUGAAUAUAUAUACUUAUAACCGUCAGUCCUCCUAAUUGCUGAACAGAUAUACUGAGGCAUUUAACCAUUUGCUCAGGAUGAUUUAUUGUGCAAGGUAUCUUGAAAACAACCUGAUAUUUGGUGUAAGUCACAGUAGCUGGUCUCUCUACCCAUGUUUUGAAGAGAUCUAGAAAAAGUCUUGGGGGGAAGGGGGGGAGGAAGGACAGGGAAGAUCUUUUAUUAUUUUUAAAUUGUCUUGACCCUUCUAUUUAACAAUUGCUAUUAUGGAUACAAGAAAAAGGCAGCACUGAAAGUAGCUCUCUGUUCUGAUCUUAGUGACAGUUACACCUUUGGAAGGACCCACCUGAGCAGGGAGACAAUACUACUUGCUUUUCCAUGUGUUGUUGAAAGCUGUGAUCCUGGAUGAUCAUUUCUACACCAAAGCAGCCUGAAGAGUGAGAAGCUUAACUGCAGGGCAGAGAGGAAGAAAGAAAAACUUGAAACAAAACAAAACAGAAGAACGAAAGCCUUUCCUUGUGAUCCGUGCACCCUGAACAUAGUAUAUCAUGCCAAAUUUCUUUUUAAAGUCCCAUCCGACUGGAUGAGAUCCCACUGACAUCUGUUUCCUUCUCCUCCAUGCCUACAAAGACCAGCAUGAGGACUUGUACUUGAAGACAGUCCUUAAAGUCCAGAUAAAAUCAUGUCUUUCUCAGAUAUGUCAUGGCUGUUCCUCAGAAGUACUCAGGCUUAUAUGGUAGACUUAUUAAAUACAGCGUCUUGCUAAAGACACAAGCAUGCUGGGUAGCCAUUUCCUAUACUUUAAUUCCCAUUUCAUUACUCAAACCUAGUAAAUUCUGUUUAACUAGAAGAUAACGGUUACUUGGCUAAACUUCAAAAAAAACAUCCAGUUCUGACUUAAAGCAGAAAAACAUGACUAAUCUAUUAAUUCCCAUUGUAAAUCUCUUGGAAUAUUUAAUAUCCGAGUUAAAAAUAUGUAUACCUUCUUCCUAAUUUCAUUUUUUUGUCUGGCUACAGAUUCCUGCCUUUUGAUGCCUUUAUCCCCAAGACUAAGUAGUCCUUUGGCACCUGGUGUUUUAUUAUUGUACAUCUGUAUUCCAAUCUUUUUUUUUUUUUUUAAAGCUGAACAGAUGGGGUCCUUAGAGACUACGCAUUGUGUAGCACUUUCUCCAGUUCCUGAAUAGAAACCGAGGCUUUUUUUACACAGCUUGUCCAGUUUUUCAGUAGGCUAGGAAAAAUGUGGACAUCAGAAGUGGAUACAGUAUUCCAGUAUUAAUUUCAUUCAAGUGAUAUGAAGGAAGAAAUACCACCUCCUCAGAAGUAAGGAGUACUCCUCUGCCUCUGACAAAGUACAUGUCCUCUGUGACUCUCAAACUGAUUUGACGGUUGUCACCACCCCAGCCAUUCUUCCUGGGAGUGCAGCUGGAAGAAAAACACUGUUGGUGUAAUGUUGCCAACAAUCUCUCUUAUUCCCAGAGAUAAAGACGCAUUGAUGACUCUCUUCCAAAUUCUCUCCUGAGAUAGAAACCUUCCCCAGAGAGAAGUUUACCAGUAGCUCCUGUAAAGAAGAGGCACCUGAGGAGCAUGAGAGAAAAGCUGGUAUUAUAUCUGGAACCAGCUCUGUGUACCUCUGGGAGAAUAAUGUCAGCUCUUGGCAAAAACAGGCAUGUUCCUAAAAUUGUUCAUCUGGACCUUACUGUUUCUAGGAUAUGAAAUGCAGAAUAGGAUAAGAGAAGCAAGAGAUGGAGGCUAUCUACAGAAUUUUCUUCGUUUCCCUGCAAGCGAAGGCUAUGGCUUUACACACUUGGCCUCUGAAAAGUAUAUGUCAGUUGCUGGACAGAUUAAUUGCUUUGUGUGAAGCAAGAGAAAUGUUGAUGCUUCAUCCAGUUUUUCGUUUGUGUUUGAAGGAAGACCUCCAAGCAACAAAAGCAUUCAUCUGGACUUUUACACCAGUAGAUGACUGUUGAACGCGUAUUCUCUGUCACUCUCUAUGUGUGUAUUUAGUACUAGGCAAUAAAAGAUAAGCUGAGAGACUUGCAAGCAUUA